UACGUAGGGGGCGAGCGUUGUCCGGAUUUAUUGGGCGUAAAGAGCUCGUAGGCGGUUGGGUAAGUCGGGUGUGAAAACUCAGGGCUCAACUCUGAGACGCCACUCGAUACUGCCCUGACUCGAGUCCGGUAGGGGAGGCGUGGAAUUCCCGGUGUAGCGGUGAAAUGCGCAGAUAUCGGGAGGAACACCAGUGGCGAAGGCGGCGCUCUGGGCCGGAACUGACGCUGAGGAGCGAAAGCGUGGGUAGCAAACAGG
rnacentral:rRNA from 1 species